UACGUAGGGGGCAAGCGUUGUCCGGAAUCAUUGGGCGUAAAGAGCGCGUAGGCGGCCCUGUAAGUCCGCUGUGAAAGUCAAGGGCUCAACCCUUGGAUGCCGGUGGAUACUGCAGGGCUAGAGUCCGGAAGAGGCGAGUGGAAUUCCUGGUGUAGCGGUGAAAUGCGCAGAUAUCAGGAGGAACACCGGUGGCGAAGGCGGGUCUCUGGGCAACAACUGACGCUGAGGAGCAAAAGCGUGGGGAGCGAACAGG
rnacentral:rRNA from 1 species